GCCUCUGUAGCUCAGUUGGUUAGAGGCGCUGCACCGACAUCGCAGGGCCGCAAGUUCGAUUCCUGCCAGGGACC